AUGGCGGCCUUACCACUGCCACUCCUCGCCACCCUUCUCGAGAAUCCCGCGGCCACGCCCACGCAGCACAAGACCGACGACGGCUACCACACGCCCACCUCGCCGCCGUCUCAAGCCAAGAUGAUCUGCCCGCCGGCGCCGAGGAAGAUGAAGCCGCGCAAGAGGAGGAGGAGACAGCUGCUUGAGAUGCCGCCGGAAGCCAUCUCCGUCUCCACGGAGGAGCUGGACGCAGUGUUCAUGGAGAGGACGGGACCAACAGCAGCAGUAGCUCCUGCUGCUGCUCCUCCUCCUCCUUCCUCUUCUUGCAGUGCUGAAAGCGAAACGUCAACCACCAGCGACGGCAGCUGCAAGAAGAAGAGGAAGCGAUAA
rnacentral:rRNA from 1 species